AGAUGCAGAGGAGUGGGCAGGGUAGGGGUAGUGCAAGUGAACUGAACUUCUGCGUCGGUGUAGGCUACACUAUAUUCUUAAAUGCACCCAACUUUAAUCAUGCGCUGAGAUUUAUAAUAGUGGAAAAAACUAGCUGGAUGUUCGGAUUAUGAGUAGACUGGGACCUAGGCGGAAAACUUCAAGAUUUUUCCUAAAAAAAAAAUAUUCCAAAAAGAAAACUUGGGACUGAUUGUGCGCGCUUUGAGGCCAAAAUCUGCAGUCUAAAAGCAGGUAAGCCACUGACUAACGCACAUUGUGCCAGUUUCCAGUUCCACUGUGCGUGUGACAGCGGCUAACCUGGUUUUGGGAACACCUCUCAUAUUUUUGACUCGUCUGAGACCCAGCCAGAGCCGGAUCAGACAGACACCUGUUUACAAGCAGCCCUUGAUCGUGGCCCCGUGAGCACCGCCUGGACAUAAAUGCUCUCCCAGUGGUCUCCAUGUGUACCGUAACCUACUUCCUACUAUGUUCAUACAGUACCUUAUUUAGGACCGUGUGGCGUUUGCACUCCCUCCUCUUUAAUGCCAUCGUUUGAGACUGCUGGUGAGUGUUUCGUUUCAGUUUCUGUUUCAUCUGUUGGGUUUAGAUCAUGUUCAUGUUCACUGGUUACCAAUUUGAGGUUCUUCCAAGAGGUUCCUUUGGGCCCAUAAGGAAAAGAUGAACAGUGCUAUAAAGAAACUCGGUUUCAGGACAGAAUGGAUAAUAUUAUGCAUAGUAAUCAGACUAUAACCAAUUUAUUACUAAAUUCUAUAUAGUGACACAACCUUACCAUGUAAGAAAAUACAUAUGGAUUGCAGCAAUACAGUAUGUACAAUGUAUGCUUGUAAGUAACCAAAGUAAAGUUUCUGCUCAAAUCAACUGUCUGUGUGUUGUGCCCUGUAAUGCAUUUCUUGGUGUAAGUGAGGAUGUUUUAUCCUCAUCAGUGCAUAAUGACUCACAGUGACACAAAGGAAUAGAUAAGUGCAGUAUGUCAGACUCAUUAACUCAUGGCCUCAUUCAUCAUCAUAACGUGUGGACGUGCAGAUGCUCACUCCCAUUUCCAAGGAGGUUCUUUCCCAGGCAGCCAGUGCCCGAUGCACAUGGUGAGCUGAUGAGUUUUUAUAUCUGAAAGUAAUCAAAUUUUAAGCUUUGCGGCACCUUUUAUGCGCAUUUGUUUGAUGAGAAAAGAUUUUGUCAGCGUGCCGUCCUAAAACAUAGUCGUAAUCUGUUAAUGUGCCCUUAUGAGAUUGGAGCCCUCAGGGCUUAGAUAUGAAAUGGGUGGAUGCCUCAUUUUGCACGUGGGAUGUCUGGGGUGUGGGAACAUGCGUAACAUUAACCUGUGAUAAUCUUUAAAAAAAAAAAGAAAAAAAGUGAAGGGUCCUCAAGUAACAACCUUUCUUUUUUACAUAAUUUGAAGAGACCAGAAUAUUACUGUUAAUAUGGUGAAAGGAAACUAUAAAGGUUUCUUUAGGAAAAGGGCACAUUUGUAAUUUCCUCGUAUGUCCACAGGUUGGCAUCAGUGUCACAUGAGGCUUGUGCUUGUCCAGACUCCGGGACCUAAACAAGGAUUUGAAGCUUAUCUAACCCUUACAAAGCCAGAUAGCUCUAAAUCUUCUCAGGAUAAUCCAAUUCCACAUAAUUGAUCAUAAUAUCAAAACUGGCAGUCUCAUCUAAUUUUCCAUCAUUCACAAGUCAUUAAAAUUGGCACAAAGCAGAAAAGGCAGAUGGAAAAAAAAAUGUUUUUGUUGGAUGGACACAGUUUCUAAUAGACACACAAAAAUGGACAGAGACAGAAGAAAAAUAUUUACUCUCCCUGUAAUUAUACCUGCUGAGUAUCAGCACAUGAGAGUAUUUAUAGACGUCCACAGGGUUUCAGGUGGGGGUUAGCUGGAGAGCGAGGAAGGCUCGCGUCACUCAGUCUGUGACAGCCAGAAUAUUUACCCUCCAGAGUAAACAAACAGAAAAGGGGUGGAGCACAAAUGUGUCAUGCCUUUUUGCACAGGGUGAUUCUUAUUGCAAAUUACAUAACAAUCAAACUACAAAUUACAUAAUAAUUUAGCACGUCUGUAUUUUAACGACACAAGACACUCGAUGCACCUGACCUUGUUGUAGUGAAGCAAUGGCAUCUCCUCUAGUGGAAAGAAAAGGCAAGCUAAAUGAUUAAACCGACAUCAUCAGUGUCAAAGGAACGCCAACAUUAUUUACAGCGAAACAGAUCAUAGAGCAAUGCUCCUGUUCCUGUUUUCAGUUUCAUAUAGAUGCACUGUGUGACUGCAUCCAUAACAGGAACAGCUGUGAUGCAUAGACAAGCAAGAUGCGCUUUGUGAACUUUGGAAAUUAUUGUGUACUCUCACAUCAUGUACUGCACCACCUGCUAUGAGGAAAACAUGCAUAUUUCAGUACAUAUAAUAUAUUCAUAAUGCAUUUCACAUGCUGUGUGCCACUGUCCUUUUUAUAAAGUGGAUUCCUAAUGGACUGCACCAUUUAAAGAAAUAUGACUAAUAAAAUUUGAACAGGAGUGUAGCAAAAACCAGUCAGACAAUAAAAGUUUAUCUAAAACACUGUGGACAUUUUAUUAUAUUUAAAUACAUAGUUAUUGCAAUAAUUUCUCUAGGUCAAAGGUUCCUAAUUAUUUUACAUUUCAUACAGAUACUCUGCAGUGUUUACAGUAGGAAAACUCUGUAAAUAUAUUCGUCUUAUGUAUAUACAUAUAUAUAUAUAUAUAUCAUGGUAUAUUGAAAAAAAAUAAAUGAGCGUUACAAAGGAAAGGGUUAAAUAAGAGGUGACGGUGACAGAACAGUGAACAACUUUUCCUUGGCCCUGCGGUCCAUGUAUUAUCUCCAUGACGAGUCUCGGGAUGUCAGGACUGCAAGACACAAAAAUAUAUGGGGAUGAUGAUCCCUUUGUAUUGAGGGAAAGAAAAAAAAAAAAACACUUUUCAGCUAAGACACAACACAAGAGAUUUGGGUCAAUCAAGAUAUUCACAUAACCCUAUGAGAAACAUAGAUAGACCCAAAACCAGUCAUUCCUGCUCCCACAGGGCUUGAGCACCAUGACUGGAGUUUUGCAGUCAGAUGAGUAUUAUUGAACACACGCAGUUUCAAGCUGUGUCUAUAACAAGCACUGGGAUGCAGUCUGUUUCCAAAGGAGAGAGAAUUCAUAUAACCCCAAAAAGAAAACGGCAUCACACAGCAGAAGGUAAAGAGAGUGCACACUUCAACACACAUCACUUCGACCUGUCAGCAAACAGACACACACAAAGAUAAUAUAAUGAGAUAUUACGUGCUAAGACACAACAAAUAUUGAUUUAAGGUGGUUUGCAGGGUCACUUAUGGAUGAUAGGUCCCAUUGUUUGUUUGAUUGAUGAUUGUUAUUGUAACCUACGUAUGUAAACUAAGCUGAUCCUAAAUCUACAGCACACCGAGGCACAGUGCGAAUUGUGACAGGUCAAAUGUUAAGUGUGACGAAAGCAAAGGAACCAGGCGGAUUCAUCCCAGUGGAGGGAAAGAAAAGCAUCUUAACAAACCCUGGUCCUGUGGCACUACUUUUGAAAUGAAUCUCUUCUUUUAGCAUGGAGUUUGGCAAAAAUGGACUUGCGAGAGAUACAAGCUCACCAAAUACAAUUCACUGUCUCCAGAAAGAGAGCAGGAAGAUACAAUUUCUUUGCAGGCACACAGGGACCAAGGUUUCACAUGGGAAGAGAAUUGGACAGUGCAAUACAUUUUGCAGAGCCCGCAUAAAAGGCUCUUGCUCUUUGGUCAAGCAUCACCAAAGUACAAGGCAUUGUAUAGAUACACCUCUCUCAUAAAUAGUAUCCAUACAUAAAAGGCAAACUGAAAUUACAUUUGUGGCAUGUAUUUUCAUGUCAAGAGUAAAACAAAAAACAAAAAAACCAAACACAAUCAGAAUGCCUGCCACAGUAAUUCCCAGUGCGAUUGCUGUGUUACAUGGAAAUACUUUGAAAAGCAGCUGUUGAUAGUCGAUUAUUGACUUGAGGGUGGAAAGGCCACUCUGUUAUUACAGAGAAGGGGAAAAGGGUUAGCAGCAAAUCCCUAAAUGCAUAAAAGUAUAACAAAAGCAGCUACUGUUAGUACAGAAGCAUAUAGUAAGAUGCGGAGAACAGGGAGUAAGGGAAAUCGACAGAGUAAACAGACCCACAAAAGUUAAA